rnacentral:rRNA from 1 species
GACGAACCGUGCGAACGUUGUUCGGAUUCAUUGGGCUUAAAGGGCGCGUAGGCGGCCGCUCAAGUCGGGGGUGAAAUCUUUCAGCUCAACUGGAAAAUAGCCUCCGAUACUGGGCGGCUGGAGGGAGAUAGGGGUGCGCGGAACUUCCGGUGGAGCGGUGAAAUGCGUAGAUAUCGGAAGGAACGCCGGUGGCGAAAGCGGCGCACUGGAUCUCAUCUGACGCUGAGGCGCGAAAGCGUGGGUAGCAAACAGG